UACGUAGGAUGAAAGCGUUGUCCGGAUUUAUUGGUUUUAAAGAGUGCGUAGGCGGCCUAUUAAGUUAGUGGUGAAAACGUCCGGCUUAAUCGGAUACCCGCCAUUGAUACUGAUAGACUUGAGUGCGACAGAGGGUGUUGGAAUGUGUGGUGUAGCGGUGAAAUGCUUAGAUAUCACGCAGAACACCAAUUGCGAAGGCAGAUGCCUAUGUCGUAACUGACGCUGAGGCACGAAAGCGUGGGGAUCAAACAGG
rnacentral:rRNA from 1 species